rnacentral:lncRNA from 1 species
GAGGAUGUAAUUUGGGAAGUUUCUUGAGCAAAUGACAUAAGGUGUGACGUCAAAAUAAGGUGACGACAAACGGAUGACGUAAAAGAAAUUGGGAGAGGGCAGACGACAGGGGAUCAGUUAAGGAAGACACAUGCGACGCAGCCGUGGCCAUUGUUUCUACAUUCUCAUUUGGGAACAACAUCUGCAUGAUGCUGUUCUCUCACUCUGCGUAUUUGAAGAUAGUGGAACCUGGCGUGUGUUUGCUGGUCUGGCAGAUGGAACUGUAGCUGUGCUGGACAUGGAAUAUAUUCUGUGCUCAUCUUUACAUGAUUACACCAGUGAUGGACACCUUUGUGGUGGCUGUCAUCUCAGCAGAGUGUUUCAUCUGAGGUGAAAAGAAACACAUAGUUUUCAACAUCUUUGCAGCUCUUCCAAGAUUAAACAUUUCACAUUUAACUCACUAAUGUACACUAGACGCUAUGGACAGCUUCGCAGUGUCAUCCAACCCGUAUGAUCACAUUCUGACACUGCAACCUGGACUUCCGGGUGUCUGGAUCUCAGUGCGUGGAUCAUCAAUCUUAGAACUCUGGGAUCCUGACGCUUUGGUGUGCAAGAUGUUGUAUGACACUUGUGCAAGUCGAUACCCUAAUCUUCACAAAGAUGAUGAGAUGUACUUCAACAAAGCCCGCAUUACUUGUAUCUGCAUCUUGACUACACAGUCUGGGUUGGAACAGGGGAGGGAAACUUGAUCACAUAUGUCUUCACACAUCAAGCUCAAAGUCACCCUCAGACUGUUCCUCUUUCGUCGGUUGCUAUUCGGACAACUUUUCAGCCCUGAUGAGUAGGAAAGCGAUGAUGACCAAUCUGUCUUCUUGUGCUGAGGCUUACGAUCCUGUGCGGGAAGCUGAAGGUAGAUGUGUCAAUUCUGAGUGGCAUAGAGAAUGUAUUAUUCCAAGAAUUGGCACUUAGGAAAAGUGACUUUUAAGAAUUAGAGAUACAUUGCUUCAUUUAUACUGAUUACUUCAUUUAUACUUCAAAUAAUGUAAAACCAUAUCACGUCAUCUAUCAUAUAAAUCUUGAUCCAAAGUGUGUGCAUACGCACACACAUCUCCUACACACAGAGAUUAUCUGUACUGUAAAUCUUGUGUAUAGGUGCGUCAGCAAUAUUAAGCCCAGGUAGACUCUGACACUGACUUUCUCUGACUAUCUGAGCGGAUUCUCUCCUGCAUCGACUCCUGAUAAGCAGUGGCAAUGAGUUAGUGACCCGGGGAGGACAAGAUUCCAGCAGAAUGUUUUUUACCAAGCUGACUAAUAAGUCAAAUAUCAGCGAGAACAAUUUAUUGCAAGAAACAAGUGUACUCACACUGCAUCAGGACAACCCCUAAGUCGGUGGAGGAGGUGUCCGUCCUUACAGUAAAUGGUUUUGCGAAAUUGGUUGUAUCACUGGUUCUGAGGACAUCAUUUUUAGCGUGUCUAGUGCUUGCUGGCACUCCUUCCUCCUUAUUUUAUUUUGCUGCCCCGCUUUGGUGUUGUUGGUUAGGUCUUAGGAGAUUCACUGUCGCUGCACCGUUAUCAAUGUCCUGAUACACUUCGGAGGUCUUACUCCGCAAGUUGCUCGGCUGUAACUGUCAGAACGGUCAAAACACCUUCGGUAUUGAAAUUAUUCAGCGCUACCCUUCGGUAGGUAGCAUCGGUGAUAGCAUCCGUUAUACUCGUGCUGCUAAUACAGUGGAAGGUCCGUCCUCAUACACAGAUUUCCACUGCAUGCCUCUCAGAAGUAGAGUCCACAAGGGAUCGCAGUGAAUGUCUGCCGCCUCCGUGUCGCUCUAUUCACUUCUAUGUCUCACCGCUGAAUACACCGAUUGUUAUAUGAAAGACCAAUGUGUCGGAGGUCUGUCACCUCAAGCAGCUCCGCUCUGACUGUGAUUUCUAUAUGUUCCACAAACGAAAAUCGUACUAUGGCUUUCACGAAAGACCUGCCUGGUUCGGCAACAUUCUUGUGAGAGACAAACGCUUGAUUUUGCUCUUGCCUGUCUCUUGUGGGAGCAUCGGCCAUGAGCAGACUCCCGCUACUAGGUUUCAACAGCAGCUCCAGAGAAAUGAAGCUGACUUCCUGUAAAAAUUUUCUCUGAGAUAUCAGAAAUUUACAUAGUUCCUAUGUCACCUGCACUCUACAGUGCCUUUCAGACGAGGGAGAUAAAUAAAUUAAAACACCGACAACCAUUUAAAUUUAAAAAAUAAUAUAAUUUGAAAUGAAAAGAAAACAAAAUAAAUCCAAAUUUCCCUACCCACACGUCCUAAAACAAGUUUCUUCUGUCUCAAAAUAUUCAAUGUUUUUGCCGACAAUGCAGUUCCUCACAAAGUCUCCACUUUAAAACAACACAAAAUCUACACUUGAAGUAGCACAAAGUUUCCACUUGAAAAUGAGACAAAGUAUCCACUGCCGUCGACGCCCUUCCUGAAAAUGUUAAUUCAACGAUGGCGGAUACGAAGAAUACGAGCAACAAACGAAAGAGAAAAACACAAAAAACCUGAAGAGGAAAAAAAAACAAACAAACAAACAAAACCAUUCUUUAGACAAAUGGCAAGUUCUAAACUCAACUAUUUUAAAUCAGGUUCAUAAAAUAUACUACAAAUAUAUCACACUCAUCAGAAAUUUCCCCAUUCUUCAAACAGUUAACACAGGCUCACCGAGAAUCAACAAAAGUACACACUCACCUCAACAGGUUCAAUGUUACACAAAGAUACAAACAAAUCUGGUAACUUCCAAGUCUUUUCAGAACUUGUACAAUACAAUACAAAUCUGAUCAGGAUUUGUACCCAGGUCUACAACACCAAGUCCGUUCAAGACUUGUUACAAAACAAAAACGUCAAUCUCCAGCCCCGUAGAAUCACCUGCAGAACAAGAAGGGAAAUGUCUCCAGGAGGGUUUGUAAGGACACCAAUUUUCCCUCACCCCAAGUAAGGACUUUUCGCUCUUUCCCUUUAUCAACUGCACGCAAACUCUUGUAUGCCCACGUCCAUCCAUCCUCACCCAUCGGUUCUGUCGUUCUCUCUCUCACUUACACACACAGCAAUUAGCCCUCAUACACACGCACAUGCGUAUAGAGCACAAACAUAUGAAUACACGCACAGGAUGUCUUCAUACGUUGAACACAUGCUGUGGAGCUAUCCCCUUCCUAGCUAAAAAAAACAAAUUAUAAAAAAAGGCUUUGGUGUGCAAGAUGUUGUAUGACACUCGUGCAAGUCGAUACCCUAAUCUUCGCAAAGUAUGCAAUUUUUUUCACAUGCACAUGCACUUCUAUGUCAUGUAUGUCAUUUGAAAGCAGCUUUUGAAGAGAAAGAUUUCCACUCUCUUGACAAAUUUUCUGAACCAAACAAUAGAUCUGGCUAUCUUCAACAAACAUGAUUUCUCUCGGCAAUCAAUAGGUUUUCGUGAGAGAAAAUUGAUCAUAUUACAGAACGAAAACAUCCCAAAGCAAAACACACACACACACACAAAACCCUUAGUUUUAAAUUCCCUAACUUUCAAUCUUAAGACGUCGUUCAUAACCACUACACUACAGAGGCAUAGCUCAGGGAGCUCUCUAGCUCUCUACGUGUAGUUAAACAUCGUUUCGCUUGCUUUGGGCCCUCAUUUAUUUAGCUUUUACUUGAAAGGUUUAGGGAUAAAUCUUCCCAAGCCAUAUAAACAUGAUUUUUUUUAAAAAGCCAGGUUACUACAUAAAUCAUGAGACUUAUCUCUCGGGUGUUGUUCUCCUGGUGAUAAUCCCACGGUGCACAAGUUCAACAAAGUUAGAGUUUACAAAUUCCAAUGUUCGCAAGUUCACUAAGGAUAACAAGUCACUGUUAAUUCUCCCGUUCACAAGCUCACCAUAGUUCACAAAUCACUGUUACUUGCAAUGUUCAGCAGUCCCUGCUUCAUGUACAAUAGUACUCCAAGUCCCUCGGACCCUUUUACGUCUGACACAAGACGGACCUCCGUCGGCCGUUCACUACCUCGCCACCCGCAAAAGUGACUUUUCUACCCCUGCACCAGACUUUGUUCUUUCUCCCUUCCGGUGGGUUAGGGUUAGGGUUAAGGUGACCUUGGACAUGUAGAAAGGGUCUAAAGACAUUAUUUAAGGGGGCAUUGGUCGCCUUGGGCGAUACCCGGCAUUCAUAAUUUUAAAGCAUUUGGCUAAUUAAGUAUUAUAAAUACAUAUAAAUACAAACUUAAUAUAACACAUUCUGUUUGCAUCACUUUUACAAUAGUAAAUAUGAACACCACAGGAAGAAUUCCAGUGGCUGUGACUGUGAUCUCCAGAAUAGACUUACUUGCACACACUUAAGUUGUUGCUCGUUGCAGGCUGAUCACCCAUAACAGCUGACGUAGUAGCCAAGCCACAUCGCAAUCUCUCUGAUCUAUUUUUGCUGAUGCCAUGGUAACAGAUCAAACUGGAGUUGACAGUAGAUGCUGAGGAAAUGUUGGUUUCGUUCGCGUGUUUUCCACGUUGUCCCAGAUAAGAAAAGGGUGAUUAAAGUAUAACACGCAUAUUUGCCGAUGCGAUUUCUAUCUUCAAAACAAUUAGUGAAGCAAUUGUCCAAUGCUGUGUAUAUAGUAGUGGGUCUUCAUGAAAUGGUUGACAUAGAAUUGUUUAUAUAUAUGGUUUCACUUGGCAAUCAAUAAGGUUUCAUGAAAGGCUUGAUAGAAAAUUGAUCAUAUUAGAGAACGAAAACAUCCCAACGCAAAACAAAACAAAA